rnacentral:lncRNA from 1 species
UCCUGGUUCUUCUUUUGAUCUAAUUUGUCAGCCAGCAAGAAGUCCUUGGGUUUAUUGUUCUGGGCAGAGAUCAUGAAACAGCAUCGGACGAGUUGUUGAUCUCCGCACAUUUCUCUGACAUCAUUUUUGGUCGAAAAUCAGACCAACAGGUGGUAUGUCGAGACUAUCGCUCUCAGGGCAUUUAGUCCAAAUUUUUUGAGUAUGGUGUUGUAGGUCGAGGGUACUCAGACAAUCGUAAAGGUUAUGAAGAUGAUGCUUUGUUGUGGUUCAAUUCCAGUAGUUAGGGGGAGGGUGAUUUC